rnacentral:lncRNA from 1 species
AAAUAGUUGUGUGUUGACACGAUGCAAAACUGGACCAUCCCGUCGAAACAUUUUGAUCAGUGGCUCUGUAGAAAAGAAAAGAAGAGGAUCUGUCAACAUGAUGCCAAAAUGGAUCAAUCAGGGUCAAAAUAUUGAAUAUAAAUUAAUGGAGGUUACAUUACUUGUAAAAGGGAAGGUUGAAACUGAAAUAACAAGUUAAAAACAGUAGAGAAAUUAAAAAGAAAAAACAAUGAAUUUAAGGAUUACAGAAACUGAGAAAGACAAAUUUAAUUUGUUUUGGGAACUAUAGAAUAUGAUCCUAACUCCAAAGUUUCUCAAUAAAAUUUCUACAACUUGUUUUGGCAUUUAAAAGAUCCAAACAAUAAUAACAUGUGAAGAACAAAAAAUAAUAUACCUGGAUUCAGCUAUCGAUGUUCUUCAAGUGCUGGUUAAUUUGCUGAGGCAGUAUUCAGAAGAAGAAGAAGAAGAAGAAGAAGAAGCACAGAUCUGAGAAGAGUAUAUAUAGGUUAAGCUAGUUCAUUGUGAUGAGAUGUGGAAAGGAAAAUAGUUUUGUUGUUUGACAAGAAGGAAGUUGCUAGGAAGGAAGGAAGGAAGGAAGGAACAACUUUAAUUAAUCAACCUGCAAAAAGCUAUUGAUCGAUGUUCUUCAAGUGCUGGUUUGCUGAGGCAGUAUUCAGAAGAAGAAGAAGAAGAAGAAGCACAGAUCAGAGAAGAGUAUAGGUUAAGCUAGUUCAUUGUGAUAAGAUGUGGAAAGGAAGAUAGUUGUGUUGUUUGACAAGAAAGAAG